GAUGAACGCUGGCGGUGUGCCUAAUACAUGCAAGUCGAGCGAACGGACGAGAAGCUUGCUUCUCUGAUGUUAGCGGCGGACGGGUGAGUAACACGUGGAUAACCUACCUAUAAGACUGGGAUAACUUCGGGAAACCGGAGCUAAUACCGGAUAAUAUUUUGAACCGCAUGGUUCAAAAGUGAAAGACGGUCUUGCUGUCACUUAUAGAUGGAUCCGCGCUGCAUUAGCUAGUUGGUAAGGUAACGGCUUACCAAGGCAACGAUGCAUAGCCGACCUGAGAGGGUGAUCGGCCACACUGGAACUGAGACACGGUCCAGACUCCUACGGGAGGCAGCAGUAGGGAAUCUUCCGCAAUGGGCGAAAGCCUGACGGAGCAACGCCGCGUGAGUGAUGAAGGUCUUCGGAUCGUAAAACCCUGUUAUUAGGGAAGAACAUAUGUGUAAGUAACUGUGCACAUCUUGACGGUACCUAAUCAGAAAGCCACGGCUAACUACGUG
rnacentral:rRNA from 1 species